AGGGCACCACCAGGAGUGGAGCCUGCGGCUUAAUUUGACUCAACACGGGAAAACUCACCCGGCCCGGACACCGUAAGGAUUGACAGACUGAGAGCUCUUUCUUAAUUCGGUGGGUGGUGGUGCAUGGCCGUUCUUAGUUGGUGGAGCGAUUUGUCCGGUUAAUUCCGAUAACGAACGAGACUCUGGCCUAUUAAAUAGACGAUAUAUCUAUCUAGUAUAUCGCGCUUCUUAGAGGGACAAGCGGCGUCCAGCCGCAUGAAAUAGAGCAAUAACAGGUCUGUGAUGCCCUUAGAUGUCCGGGGCUGCACGCGCGCUACACUGAAAGAAUCAGCGUGCGUUUUACCUAGUUCGGAAGAACCGGGUAACCCAAGUAAAUUCUUUCGUGCUUGGGAUAGGGAAUUGCAAUUAUUUCCCUUGAAAGAGGAAUUCCCAGUAAAUGCGGGUCAUAAGCUCGCGUUGAUUACGUCCCUGCCCUUUGUACACACCGCCCGUCGCUACUACCGAUUGGAUGACUUAGUG
rnacentral:rRNA from 1 species